rnacentral:rRNA from 1 species
CUGGAGAGUUUGAUUCUGGCUCAGAUUGAACGCUGGCGGCGUGCCUAACACAUGCAAGUCGAACGAAGCGCUUGGAGCUUGCUCUGAGUGACUGAGUGGCGCACGGGUGAGUAACGCGUGGAUGAUCUACCCUGAAGUUUGGGACAACCGUUGGAAACGACGGCUAAUACCGGAUACGGCGCCUUUUCAUAGCAGGCGUUAAAGGAGGCCUCUGUAUAUGCUUUCGCUUUGGGAUGAGUCCGCGUUUCAUUAGGUAGUUGGUGAGGUAACGGCCCACCAAGCCUGCGAUGAAUAGCCGACCUGAGAGGGUAAUCGGCCACACUGGGACUGGAACACGGCCCAGACUCCUACGGGAGGCAGCAGUGGGGAAUAUUGCGCAAUGGGCGAAAGCCUGACGCAGCGACGCCGCGUGAGGGAUGAAGGGCUUCGGUUCGUAAACCUCUGUCAGAAGGGAAGAAUGGUGACCGUGCUAAUCAGCGGUCAUUUGACGGUACCUUCAAAGGAAGCACCGGCUAACUCCGUGCCAGCACCCGCAGUCUGACUCCCAGGGUACAUCGUAACGGCAUUCGGA